AUGGUUCUGAUAGAUACCAGGAAUAUGCUACAAUCAAUGGGAAAGGACAUAGAGUCAUUCCCUCUUCCUGGUAUCAAUGAAGAAUAUGACAUUGCUUCCGGCAUACCAAGGGAGAUCUUCAAGCAAUCCACCAUUCUCAAUGCUGAGGACACAAAUCUAUCAGACUCACUUAAUUCAGAUCAGAGGAAAGCCUAUGAUGAAAUUAUGUAUGUUGUUGACAGUGAUGAGGGUGGCGUAUUCUUUAUAAAUGGGCCUGGAGGCACCGGGAAGACUUAUCUAUAUAGGGCACUUCUUGCAAAAGUCCGUGGUCAGAAAGAGAUUGCAGUAGCAACAACUACGUCCGACAUUGUAGGUACCAUAAUGCCCGGAGGGAAAACAUCUCAUUCACGGUUCAAUAUACCACUAAGCAUUGACGAUGGUGGGUUUUGUAGCUUCACUAAAUAG
rnacentral:rRNA from 1 species